rnacentral:rRNA from 1 species
UACGUAGGUGGCAAGCGUUGUCCGGAAUUAUUGGGCGUAAAGCGCGUGUAGGCGGUCCGGUAAGUCCGCUGUGAAAGUCGGGGGCUCAACCCUCGGAUGCCGGUGGAUACUGUCGGGCUUGAGUACGGAAGAGGCGAGUGGAAUUCCUGGUGUAGCGGUGAAAUGCGCAGAUAUCAGGAGGAACACCAAUUGCGAAGGCAGCUCGCUGGGACGUUACUGACGCUGAGACGCGAAAGCGUGGGGAGCAAACAGG